rnacentral:rRNA from 1 species
GACGGAGGAUGCAAGUGAUAUCCGGACUCACUGGGCGUAAAGCGUCUGUCGGUGGUCCAAUAAGUCAACUGUUAAAUCUUGGGGCUCAACCUCAAAAUCGCAGUCGAAACUAUUAGACUAGAGUAUAGUAGGGGUAAAGGGAAUUUCCAGUGGAGCGGUGAAAUGCGUAGAUAUUGGAAAGAACACCGAUGGCGAAGGCACUUUACUGGGCUAUUACUAACACUCAGAGACGCAAGCUAGGGUAGCAAAAGGG